rnacentral:ribozyme from 2 species
GGCUUAAUGCGGCCAAAGCAAAAAUGACCCAAAUUGAAAUGGUCAUUUUUGGUUUGCCAGUACCAAGCCUGGAUAAACGCAGAGGUGCC